rnacentral:ribozyme from 16 species
ACAAAAGAAAAACGAAAAAAAAUAGACACGAAAAAACAGACACUCAGAAAGAGCUGAAAGGUCUGUUUUUGCUCCUCUUUUCCUCCUCUUUCCUUUUCUUUUCCUCUGUCCUUUUGCUCAUUUC